rnacentral:rRNA from 1 species
GGAAUUUUGCGCAAUGGGGGAAACCCUGACGCAGCAACGCCGCGUGACCGAUGAAGCCCUUCGGGGUGUAAAGGUCUGUCAGUGGGGACGAAACUUGACGGUACCCACAGAGGAAGCAUCGGCUAACUCCGUGCCAGCAGCCGCGGUAAUACGGGGGAUGCAAGCGUUGUCCGGAAUCAUUGGGCGUAAAGAGUUCGUAGGUGGUUUGUUAAGUUUGGUGUUAAAUUCCGAGGCUCAACUUCGGUAUGGCACUGGAUACUGGCAGACUUGAAUGCGGUAGAGGUAAAGGGAAUUCCUGGUGUAGCGGUGAAAUGCGUAGAUAUCAGGAGGAACAUCGGUGGCGUAAGCGCUUUACUGGGCCGUAAUUGACACUGAGGAACGAAAGCCGGGGUAGCAAAUG